CCCCCGUAUGGGGGGAAUGGCCAUUCCCAUCCCCCUCCUACGGAAUGCGAUUCCCAUUCCGGUUUAUGGCUUCAUUUUUUGUUUUUUGGACAAGAAUACCCCCUUCAUUUCCGAUCCUAGUCGAACAGAGAGCUGUCGCGCCGAACAGAGACUGCAAACAAAUCCAAUCCAUCUUUCAUGCCGAACCGACCUUUGGUGAGGUUCACCCUUGCUCUAUUCGGGAUCGACCUACUUCUUCACUGCUACCAUUGACGAGCUUUUCACACCAGUCAAUCCAGGACUGCAUGGUCAGCCUUAGCUAAGCUUAACUUGGCUGAGAAUGAACUGAAGGACAAGGGUGCUAUUUUGAUCGUAAAAGCACUAGAAGAAGGCCAUGGCCUAUUAAAAGAAGUUGAUUUCAGAGGGCUAGGGCGAUGUCCUUAGCACAAGCUGUGGUAAAUAAGCCUGAGUUUAAGUUGCUGAAUACCAAUGGGAGUUGCAUUUCUGAUGAAGGUAUUGAUGAGGUAAAGGACAUAUUCAAGAAAUCACCUGAUGGGCUAGGGCCCUUUGAUGAGAAUGAUGAGGAAGGGGGAGAAAGCGAUGAAGAGGAAGAGAAGGGUGAUGAAAAUGGGGAUGAAUUGGAACCGAAACUUAAACAACUUGGAGUCAGCAAGGAGGAAUAGCAGACUAUGAUGGAUUCUGAUAUUGGCUUUAACUUGUGGAAGAGGUUUAAAGUAUUUUUCUUGUGAUAUUUGGAAUUGAUCAGCUCAUUGAAUCCUACUAAUACAGUUAUUGAUUCUGUAACACAACCACUCGAGUCAGUAAUGGGUCAUGUUUUUUUUAACUUGUUUUCUCCCCAUUUCAAGAACACUAGUUUAAUUAAUUUUUUAUUUUUUAUUUCUGAUGUUACUUUAGCGAAUUAAUGGAUUUUGUUCUGUUUUUUGCUUAGAUGGUUGAUAUGUUUUGAGAUAUUCUGGUAUGUGUGAGUUGUGCUUGAUAAAUAUUUCCUCAUAAAUCCAAGUCUUUUGUGGCUUGAUGGCCUCCAAAUAACAAGGGCAAUAGAGUUUCUAUUACCAAAAGAUUUUUAACACUACUUAAGUAAUAACAGUUAUAUAUUUUAAAAUUUGGUCUAAUUGUAAUGUAACUUAAUUUUGAAUAAAAUAUUACUAAUCUUAUACCUGGGGUUAUGGUGAAUUGUAUUUUCUAAUAAGUUUAGUUUUUACCACCUCCUCAAAUUUGUGAAAAUUAAUGUUGAUCAUGUGAUGAUUUUAUGCAAUUUGAAUUAAAUUAUAAGUAACUAUUUUCAUUUUUAAUGCUAUAGUGUUAAAAUCAAGGUUCAUUGUAUUAGAAAGACAGAAUGUUGGAUAGGUAAACUUAAGAGAUGUAUGAUACACUUUGGACACCCAUGCAUACAGUGGAAAAAUUAGGAUACAUAUGCACUUUUCUAGUGAAACUCCAAUAAAUCCUAAGGAUUCAAUAACACUAAAUUCAAGUCUUAGAUGAUUAUAAAUGAGGUAUAUACAUAUAAAAAACAUAUUUAUGUGAAGUGUGAAUAUUAGGACACAUUUGAAAAAUAUUAAAAAGUAUACAGGAAUUAAAUACAUGCCAUGUAUAUCUUAAAUUUUUUUGGACACCAAUAUUGUUCUAAUAGAAAAUUAAAUAUUAAAAUUUAAAACAGAAACAAUUACCAAAAUGAAGGUGUAGUCUUAACUGGUCAGUGGGUUGUUUUGCCAUCUAUUGAUACAGGUUCAAGUAAACUUGUCUUACUACAAAUUUCUAAAUGCUCUCUCACCCCUAAGAUUUUAAAUGUGCAAAGCUAUUCUCUUCAUCUUGCUACUCAGUUUUACAACAUUGGAGUUUAUAGAAAACAAAAAUGGUUAGUUAUCAAUAGAAUUUUAUCUUUUAGAGUAAAACUAUGGCAUCUGAAACCCAAGUAAUUGGUCCAACAAACCUCCUCUCAAAUGGCUGCUUCCCUUCCCUCCCUCCUGUAUGUCCAUGUACACUAGAGCAUGCAACUUUUGUUCAUUAGGCUGCAUUUGUUUGUGAUGCAAAUGCUAGUUCAAUACAUAAAUGCACUCCGGGUCAGUUUUGCAAGUGUUUGGUAGGUAUGCAUUUGUGUAUAUAUCAAUGAUGACAGCUAUCAGAACUUCCAAGACAUGCAUUUGUAAAUCAGGGUUUGGGGGUAUAGGACUGCAUGGACAGUAUUUGAAAAUUCCUGUGUACAGCUCUUUGUCGUACAUGUUUUUUUUUUUCUAUUCAAAGAUUUUAUACUUUACCUGUUUCAAAAAAAAAAAGUGCAGGCUCAUCUGAGGAUCCUAUUAUUGGAUUAGCUCCAAAAUAAACGUGAGAUUAUUUUUUUUGAUUGGUGAAUUUCAGAAUUUUCGGUUAAUGUUCUUUUAUUGUGUUGAAAUCAUGCUAAAGUUUGCUUAACCUUUUUGGUCUUUCCCUGGUUCUUCUAGCCCUUUCAACUUGUAACAGAUCACUGUGCUGUAAAUGGACUCCAAGAUAUGUAUCAGAUGCUGAUUCCUGUUUCUAUAAACAUGGAACACUGCCUUCUGACAUUAACUGUAUCUUUCUGAUACACAAGCACGAUGCCAUCCCAAAAUUUGCAGGAUCUGAUGUUAGUAAUUUGUUUGGCACAUUUGUGAAAGUUAGGCAGACACAAAACAGUUUCCCAUUUGGCUCAUGUAUGAAUAGAACAAAUAUAGACAAUGAAGAUUUUGUUGAUUUCUUUGUUAAGAAUUUCACACUUAAAGGUUCUAAAGGGUCAGCUUUUUUGUAGAUGGGUUUUGUGAGAAAUUGUUGUACAUUUUUUCAUUUUUAUGGUGGAGAGUGAUUUUUUUUUGUGUGAUUUUUGUUUGUUUGUGUUUUUCUUUUCAUUUUUUUUUUCAUAUUUUCUCCAUAUAUAUGCACUUGUUAGCAGGUUGCCAAUGUGCAUAUAUGUUGAAAAUAUAUAAAAGGUGGUUGUUCUUUAGGUUCUUUUAACAGGGGCAAAAUUGGAAUCUUUGGCUGAUUCUGAUUCCAGCUUCUAGUUGAACCAAACAGCAGGAAUUGAACCAAACAGAUGUUAGGAAUAGGUGAUUCCGAUUCUGAUUCUUAGGGAUUCCGAUUCCAAUUCCAGUCCUGUCCGCGAACCAAAUGCACCCUUAGUUUUUUUCGAUUAUUGUGUGUUCUUGUGGCUGCAGGAGGAAGUGUUGGAAAUCCGUUGGAAGCGGAGCUGGGUGGUAUAUUGAAAUCGUUAAGGUUGGUUCUCGAGCAGGACUUGAAGGAGAUAAUUGUGAUUUCGGAUUCAAUCGUGGCUAUAAAAGCUUGCUCAAGAGUGGACCAGAAUGUUAACUGGUCAAGAAAAAUUGGAUGAUAUUUUGAACUUAACUAAACAUUUUUCUUCGGUUAUUUUUGUUAAUUUAUAAAAAUAUAACUGUUACGAUUUCAGUUCA